rnacentral:rRNA from 1 species
CACAAGAUUAGAUUUCUCAGGGUCGUUGUAGACUACGACGUUGAUAGGAUGCAGGUGUAAAGGUAGAGAUACCAAAGCCGAGCAUUACUAAUUGCCCGUCCACUUUCCUUA